GACGAACGCUGGCGGCGUGCUUAACACAUGCAAGUCGAGCGGUAAGGCCCUUUCGGGGGUACACGAGCGGCGAACGGGUGAGUAACACGUGGGUGACCUGCCUUUAGCUCUGGGAUAAGCCUGGGAAACUGGGUCUAAUACCGGAUAUGACUCCGCGGUGCAUGCUGUGGGGUGGAAAGCCUUGUGCGGCUGGAGAUGGGCCCGCGGCCUAUCAGCUUGUUGGUGGGGUGAUGGCCACCAAGGCGACGACGGGUAGCCGGCCUGAGAGGGCGACCGGCCACACUGGGACUGAGACACGGCCCAGACUCCUACGGGAGGCAGCAGUGGGGAAUCUUGCGCAAUGGGCGAAAGCCUGACGCAGCGACGCCGCGUGAGGGAUGACGGCCUCGG
rnacentral:rRNA from 1 species